rnacentral:rRNA from 1 species
GUGUCAGCAGCCGCGGUAAUACAGAGGUCCCGAGCGUUGUUCGGAUUCACUGGGCGUAAAGGGUGCGUAGGUGGCAUGGUAAGUUUGAUGUGAAAGCUCAGGGCUUAACCCUGAAAUGGCAUUGAAUACUACUGUGCUGGAGGUUUGGAGGGGGGACUGGAAUUCUUGGUGUAGCAGUGAAAUGCGUAGAUAUCAAGAGGAACACCAGUGGCGAAGGCGAGUCCCUGGACAACACCUGACACUGAGGCACGAAAGCUAGGGGAGCAAACAGGAUUAGAAACCCCUGUAGUCC